AGUCGCUGUCUGAAGUUAGACAGCAAAAUGUCAUUCUUGUGACCAAAAUAAGGCUUUGCUUUCUCUGUAAAUACAGCCUACUUGAAUUCAGAUAUGCAAUCCAACUGCAGCCGACCUUCAGCACGACAUUCACUGCAGUAGUGCUGCUUACAUCGCCUGAAUUCAGCCUGACUGCUUUAUGUCACGUUUUGAUAAUGUCCCAUCAGAUAUGCAAGGAAGAUCUUAAUUUCCUUUUAUGUGUGGAUCUCAUGAAAAGCAGAAGCAUCCAGGCUUCUGGGGAUAUGACACACUACUGGUUUUAUCAGUGGAAUUGUAUCAGCCUGCAUCCAACCUCGUGGUUCUCUCCUAUUUCCACUGCCUGCGUUCCCACUGAUGGAUGAAAUUCCCUUUCCUAAACUGCCUCUCACCUUUGCUGCUUUUUACAGGGACUGGAAGUUGCUGCUUCAGGAAAUAGCAGAUGUCAGAUGCUGUAAGCCUGAAUGCUUUCUUCCUGCCUUCUCUUGGGUUUUUCCAGCAUCAUGGACUCACGGGGAUAGCAAGUGAUGAGCUACACGUCUCUCUGCUCACUCACCCACGAGGCAUAUAAGAGAAGUUAUCUUUCAUGAGAAAAAUAAGGACAGGCUACGCCGAAAGAGGUCCCCACAUAAAUUACGGGCAGUAGUCACAGCCUGCUAUUCAACUCCAGCACCAUAAUUUUUGUUUAUUGUCCAGAUUACGGUCUAACCAACUAGAGGCAACAGCAGCUGAGAUCAGACCUGCAGAACUGCAGUGAGGAAGUGCCAGGAUGCAGUGCUCCUCCCUCCUGAAAGACGCGUUCAUGUAAGGAGACGCUUACAGGAGGUCAAUGUGGAAUCUGCUGGCACAAUUUACUGAGCCACUCAAAUGCUCAUACUUUUAACUUUAGGAUUUAUACAGCGGUGGAAGAUUACCUGUCUCUUUUGGAACUGCCAUAUGCUUUUAGUUGCCUAAGUGAAUGAGACAACCCCAGAUUGUCUGUAAGGACGUGGAUCCUAGUGGGCAUGGUGGAGAUGGGUUGAUGAUUGCAUUAAUGUUUUAGUAGAGGGUAUUUAAGUAAAAGCAGUGUCAGAUUUUAUGUGCAAAUACAGCAGAAGAGGGGGUUCUUCUACGCUGCACGGUUCAGCAGUACAGCAGGAUGUGGGUGCGUGGUCAAGUUCAUCCUACCAUUGCUUCUUCCCCUACAGGUUUCUUUGUUCCUAACUUGCCCACAGCCUGCUUUCUCUCUUCCAGCACACUCUCUGCUUCUGCCUUUAAUUUUGCAGGUUGCAGGUUUUUAAUCAAAUAACUCUAUUUUAGACCAUCUGACCUGUGGGUUAUAUAUAUAGAUAUAUGGUAUCAUUGGGAUGCUUUCUAGGGUGUUAGAAAAGGAAGAACAUAUUGGAGUGCCAGCAAAACUUGCUGAAGGUCAUAGACAUGCAGUGAAUCAGAAUCAAAUGUUUGGAAGUUUUUUAACUGACUGCUCUGCCUGUCAGUGCCUAACGUAAUGUCCUGCUCAUUCAGCUGCUAUUUAAGUUACUUGCAAACAAAAAUGAUGGAGAAAGGAGAAAAGAAGGCUCCCAGGAGCAAAUGUAGCUUAUAACCUGAAAUGUAAUUCUUACUGAUUUAACCAAGUUUGAUUUUUUUUUUAAUUUUAAUUGAAAAUUGAAGCUCAAUAAUGCAGGAAAAAGAAUCUCCUCAGAGAAGAUGUUUGGACAAACUUUGACAUAGAAAAAUCCCUUCUCAAACCAAUGAACUUGCUCUUGGAAAUGAUGAGAACAUAAAUAUGGAUCCCCAACUAACAAACGUUUGUUUGUUGUUUUCCAGUUUUGGAGUACUGUCCUGGGAGAACCUAAGCAGACAGGAACUUUGUAAGGGUAUUUCUCUAUUGCUUGUCUGAUGUUACUGCGCCAGUCAUUUCCCUUACUGUAGAGAAAUGCUAACAUAAACAGCACAGUCUAUUCAAAUGCGCCUUUGCCUUUUAUUACGGUUAGAACAAAGUUUGUAAAGCAUUAUGUAAUAAUUAUUGCAAUCUAAGAACAAUCCCCAUUCUAUAGAGGCAGACACUGAGAAAGGCUCCUCUGCUGCGGGCUGAGUUCUGCUCACCAGCUGACGGUAGGGCUCCUACAUUUUGCAGGCUGAGAAAGACCUUCUCAAAGCGUUACACAGAGCGAACUGUGCUGGUAUUCGCACAGCUUUCACGUCCAGCUGCCAUCUUGUGGCUGCCCAACGUAACUUCUAUCCACAAUAGGACUGACAUUAUUACAAGGCUUUGCGUAAAACUGCGAGCUUAGGUUACAUCCACAGCAAUGGCACACAUACCCGAGGUAUCCGUGCAUGCACUUUCCGGUGCUUAUGUAGCUAUUCGUUUGUGACUUAUUGUUUGGAGCGAGUUAUUUAUCUUGAAAUGGCCUGUUGCAGUAAGUAGUCAUGGUCACUGUUAAAGGCUAGCACACCUACUAGCAAGAGUGUUAGCGCUUCUAGUUUUGCCUCUGAAAGCAGUCUUUGUUUUAAUGUACAUGAAAUAACUUAUGCUGAAUAUCACAUAAGAGUUCUGAAGUCUCAGAAUUUAUUUAAAAAGAAAAUCAAAGGAUGUCUGAGGUAGAAGCUACUUAAACUGAUUUAAUCUAGUUCAGCCAGCUGUUCACAAUAGCACAGUUAAUACCCAAUAACAUUCUUAGUGUAGUUGCAAUAUAUUGAUGCCAAACAUAUAUACAAUCUGAUUUGAAAUGUGGUAUUUAAAAUGCUUUAUUCCUCCUGCAAGAUGUGUAGACCUUCUAAAUGGAACUUUUACUGGUUUAAAUAAGGAAGCAAACUCUACUGCAAGCUACAAUCUGAUGUGCACAAAGGAGACAGCACUUAAUGCAUGCAAAGGUUCAGAAGUAUUCAUACUGAGACAGGUGUACACAACUCAGAGGUCACCUGUUUACAAAAACUCAACCAAGUAAUGACAGAGAAAAUCCCUCUUGUAGCACCAAACUUGUCAACUAUUCUACUUGAUAGCAGUAUGAAUAAUGCAGGAAGAGAAAAUAUUCUUGAGAUGGAUCUGGCAAAUUCUAUCCCACGGAACACAACAAAGAAAGAUCUCUACUUUGAAACAUAUUCAGCUCAGCUAUUCCAAGAAAAGGAUAAACAUUACUAUUAGUGCUACAUAUCACCCAGGCUCUAACAGUAGAAGGCCAUUUUGUAUUCUUCCCUUGUCUUGUCUGCAUUCAGGCAAAGAAAACAGUUACCAUUAGGACUCACCCCUGGCACUUCAGCACAGAUCACAAACUAUGCACCUUGAAAACCAGCGACAGAGUCAUCAUGGAAUCAUUUGAGUUGGAAGGGGCAAAGCAGCCAUUGCAUAGGUUCCCUCCUGAGAUAUCCUGCUGCUGUGACUUUUGUUGAGGUUUGUUAACUGGACUUGGAAUGACAAUGACUCACUUUCCUCUGUCAUAACCUGUUGACUGAAGUCAGUCGCUCCUGCAGACCAUGGUUUUAUUCCUCUCAUGGAAAAAGCCAGCUGGAUUAAAAGAUCACAUCAACCCACUGCUUGCAGCAAUCACCAAGAUUGGUACAACAAAUUCUAGUUUUGGACCUCAGAGGGGAGGAGUGCAAUGUGCAACAUGGUAAAUACUAUGCAAGUCAGAUGACACCUUAUUUCCUUGACUUUAGAAGACAGGGAAACAGAUUAUGAGUUUUUGGGAUCACACAAAGGAAAAGCAGCUGUUAUUAAUCUUUCCAGCUAAGUGAAUUAAGAAAUAUUUCUCACACAGGACCUCAAGUCUUAGAAAUUUUACAUUACACAUAUAAAUUAUUCUAUUUUUACUUGCAAACAGUCAUGCAGCCUUAAAAAAAAAGGCAGUGAUAGCAGCACUUUGGAGAGGUAGGCUUAAAGUGUUUGGUAAAUGGAAAAACAUUAAUACCUUACAUCCAUGUUGUUCUCUGUGUAUGUCUGCAGCUCAGCGUGAAGUUAAACCAGACAGAAGAGAUCUCAAGCUGAUUGUUUUUGAAGUCAUGGUUCUGCUGACCUGCAAAGGAAAAUAGAGCUGCUCACGGCCAUCUUUUGCUGACUCAUACAAAGAGGACCAUCCCCUGCCCCUUGCUCCUUUCUGCUAUCUAUACAGCGCCCUUAUCGCAGCUGGGAUACUUCCUGUAGCAAAGGAACUUCUGCACUAGAAUUUUUUGAAGUUAAUUUGUAGACAAUUAAUCUGAGGUGCUGGAAUGGAGCUUCUGAGAGAUUAGUCUUUCCAGUAGAGAACAAAACAAAGCUAUAAAUACCACUCAGUAGUUGUCACCAACAUGUAUCACCAUAGUCCCAAACAGGGGAAGACAAGUGCAUGCUCACAAAAUCCUCAUUUCCCAAACUUUAAAAAUAAUGCAUUAAUGGACUCAAAGCGUACACAAAAGAAUUUUUACACUGAUUAGUCUAAAAUGUAGAGCUGGGGAGUUGGAUUUGAUGACCUUUAGGAGUCCCUUCCAAAUGAUUCCAUGAUUCUGUAUUUAUACCAGCUGAAGUGCUAGCCAAACCUUAAAUAUUUACAUGGUAUCAUUUCAGUUCUGCACGAUCUUGCAAACACUUUCAUGUACCGCAGCUUCAGUCACCUGUGCCAUCCACGUGAGCUAAGUGCAUACACAAAUACCUGUGGGGCUGGUUUGGUAGGAAAAGACCUAACCAUCAUCAAGGCUGGCAUAGAGAAUUCAAAUUUCUUCAUUGUCAAUUAUGUGAUAAUGAUGAUAUACACCUAUUAGGUAUGCUUUCCCCUAGCAAGUGCUUUCCUCUUUUUCUAAGUCUGCUGCAUUUUUUUUUUCAUGCACACUUUUCUCAUUCUUUUUCUCCUACCCUCUCUGCCUCCUUUGUAAAAUAUUAUUCUAGAGCUCAAAAGGACUCAGAAUUUCUGUUUUUUUCCUCAUCAAAAGAAAUAAACCCCUGUUUGCCUCACUUGGCACACCCUUUAGUGAGGACAUGGUUGACCUGACAGCUGGUAUGUCAGCAAAGUUAAACAAGACUCAUGGAUUUUGAAGGUAAGUCCACCAUAAAUUAAGCUGCCUGAUGAGGUCUGCAGAGAACAUAUUUAAUGAGUUGUGUUAUAUUAGAGGUCUAGUGUAGCUGCAAGAGUAUGUUAACUGUAAUUCAGUGUGCGUUUAAAAAGUGGGCUGCUGAUAACUGCAUUUUUCUUAAUCCCAGUGUGAGAAAAAUGGUGGAUAAAAGUUCAGACAUAAUAUUCUAGUUCUUGCAUUGAUAAGAAAUAAUUUGUAAUGGGUAUUUUGCUGUUUCCUACCUUUAUUUCUCUUCUUCCAAAGAUACAUCCCAGGUAAUAUUUAGAGAUCUUUAUCCCCAAACUGCAAUCUGCACAGGUCUGUACAGUUGGCCUUUGUUGUUCCACAGAAGUACGAGGUGCAGAGGACAAGAGGGAAUGGCCUUAAGUUGUGCCAUAGGAGAUUCAGGUUGGAUAUUAGGAAAAGGGAUGUGGGCAUGGGGGAUUGCACUUAGUGGUCUUAGAGCUCUUUUCCAACCUUCUUAAUGAUUCUACGAUCAGUUGAAGGAACUGCGUACUCUUCCAACCAGGCUGAAUUAAAUGGCAGCUAGUGAUUUAGAAUAAAAACUUCACUCUUUGAAAUAUGAUAACCUUCCACAGUAUUUCGACACGUUUCCAGCUGUUGGUCUUGAACUUUCCACACAGCAACAAUACCCACAUGAGCAGAAAACACAGCUUCCCGUCAGAAGGAAUGUGGCAGCACUCCCGAAAGGUCUGUACAGCUUGUUCGUUCUUUAGGUUUCAGAGAAAAGUGCUUGUGUGUGCUAACAGAAUGACUACCAAAAUUAUCUCCUUUUCCUUUAUUGACUAAAAAAGGCUUUAUAUAUAUAUAUAUAUAUAUUUCUUUGUCCAGUAGGAAAAUUCAGUAAAAUGUUACCUGGGGGGAAGAGGGGGUAAGGGUAGGCACUGAACUAGCUAUUGUUUUCUAUUCUAUGCUGGCAACAUUUUAGCUGCAAAACAGUAUUCAGCCCUAAGCAUGGACUGAGCAGAACCCAGAAAAGAAGGCUGAUCAGCAGUGAAGAAACUUGACAAGUAAGGGCAAGCUGAUGCAAUGGUGUUUGUUUGGUCUAGCAAAGCUGAGGCGAAGAAAGAUGGAACAGUCUGGAACAGAGGUAGUGAACAUCCAGUGAUGAAACAGGAUCUGGCACCAACCAGCUGUCUGCCCUUCAUGACAAAGCAGUGGCUCUCAGGCAGAUGUUCAGGAAACAUAAAAGACAGUCCUCCUCCCCUCCCACACCCAGAGCAGAGCGUAUUCAUGGACCAUUUUCUACCCAACCAGGAGAGCUUCAGCAGACAAAAUUAACUUAAACAGCAGUGGUCCGCUAAGCAUCUUCCCUCCAUGUGCCCAAUGGGUAUCUAGGGAUCUGUUUAUGCAAACUACAAAUCACAUACUUAACUUUUUGCUGAAUGACUAUAAAUAACUACACUGUAACUUAAGCAGUAUUUACCUCACCACAAUCUACCUACGAAGUCAUGUCUGUUUUCAGCUCAGCUAUCUGGAAGACAGAAUAGAGAACACCCUCAAUUUUCUCUUUAUUGGCUAUUGGGUAGGAUGGGGAGAGAAUUCUCAACAUUAAAAUAUUUUCCUCUCUCUUUUUUGCAUGAAAUCAUAGAAGAAUCAAGAAAAAGUGACUACAUACCAGGUUAAAAUGCAAAUGAAAUCAUAGGAAAAAUAAAAGAAUACAUGAUUUGUGUUGAACAGGUGAGAUCUCACAAUGAAAUAUGAUUGUUUUCCGAGGGACUGCAUGUCUUAGACAAGUUGCCCUGUACCCUGAAUGAGACAAGAACUUCAGCUCAGGGAAGCUUAAACAAAGAGAAUAAAUACUUCUGUCUUCUUCCUUCUGCUCUGACUUUGUGGAGCUGGUUCAAAUGCAGUCCUCAUAGCUCCAGCUAAGACCUGUUCUUCCAGCUAAAAUCAAUUGUAUCCUGGAAUUCAAGGCUAUAGGUAAAUUUAUUUUACAGAAACCUCUCACUUAGGUACAGAAUUAACUAAACAGAAUUAAAUAUUUAAGAGAAGGGAAAUGCCAAUGCUGGUUUAAAUUACCAUGUAUUUCAUUUAAAUUAUCGUGUAUUUCAAACCCAAAAUUUGACAGUCUGUGGUUUUGUUUUUCUGUAUGAAAAAAAGUAAUGGGGCAGAAGUUUGAAAAGCUCAGCUGCUAUACUUUGCUUGAGUGUGUUUAAUAAGUAAAUAAAUUAGCAGUAGCAACUCUUGUUCUCUCUGCCCUAACUGGCCACCUGGAAGUGAGAGCUGUCACUUCUUGCCAGGUCUCCAUAUGGUUGUCCUCAGUAGCAAGAGAAGAUGCAUGCAUAGCCAGUGGGCCUUUUUUGUUGGCCAAAGGAAGGCUUUUUAAAGAAAAAAAAAUUACCUGUAUCUCACAGCUGUAAUUUUACU